GAUUUUAUAGUUUAAUACAAAAUUUGAGAUUGCAAAUCUUAAGAUGCAGUGUAGCUAAAAUCU
rnacentral:tRNA from 1 species